GUUCAGCCCAAGAGAUAAUACUGGGCUUUCCCUGCCGACUUUAGGCCUGUUAUUGCCAUAACUUCGACGACUUCAUCGACUCCGACAAACACAGUUCUCCGUCGCCAUCGGGCGAUCGAACCCUCGGCCUCGGCCCACUCUGCGGCGGUGGCCGGUGGAUUCGGGCCGCCCAUGGUGGCGACGCCGUUGCUUGUGGGAUCCUCCAUCUCUCAGCCGACCGUCUCCGCCACCUCCUCCUCGGCUCCGGAUGCUUCACCUUGGGCUACCUCCUCGUCUCCGCCUCCCCACCCUCCUCCGACGGCGACGACAACAAGAAGAGGCGGAAUCCGGCCGGCUUUCACUUCCUAUCUUGGUCCCAGAACGUUGUCUCCAGGGCCAGCGCCGCCGCCGACGCAGUGGACGCGGAGAGGACCAAGCAGAGGAAGCCCGCGGUCCCUAAGAUCGAGAACCUCGCCCAUAUUCUCGAAGCCCUCGAUAAAGCUUGCAGCUUUUCUGGAAUUCCGAUGCUUGUCAGGUCCCAGAGACUUGAAAUGUGUUUUUUGAAGUGUUUCUGAACCGAAGAGUCCAUUGGAUCUCUCAUUGAAGAAUCCAGACCCAUUUAAACUCGGUACCAAGCCAAAUGCUUUCUCCUAUUGUCUUAUUCUGUUGCAUCUUUUUAGAUGCCAAUGUCUUUCUUCUUCUCACAAUUACAUGUGUAGUAUUGUGUGAAGUUUGGGUACUUUCUUCUGCAAGUUCUGGUUGUUAGGAAUGACUUUGAAGAUUGGAAAAGGGAAGAUUGCAGCGCGAUGCAGGACCAGCUGAUGUGGUUGAUGAUGUGACAAGCAGCUUGAAGCUUUUGUAGUUUUGCAUCACUAACCCAGCAUACAAGAUAGACAUCUUGCUGAGGAAGCUGAAGGAAAAUCCCAUUUUCCACUGUUUGUGGCUAUUCAGAAAAGCAGGUGGAAGGCAUGCGGUCUGUUCGAAAUCAGAAAACCUCGGUUCCCACUAUCCUCACAGGAUAUGGUUGGUGAUAUUAGAUCCUUCAGCUCCACUCAGCCUGCAUUUCUCUUAAAUUGCUGUGCAUUGCAUUUGAAGAUUGUUGGUUCGAACUAGUUUAAUUUCAGUGAUGUGCAUUACAUCUGAAGAUCAGCAGUAUGAACCUUCUAAAUGUGGAGACCAUGCCAAACACUUUUGUAGAUUUUCUACGUGCAAGGAAUGUGAUUUACAAGUAUUAUUUGUCCCUUGGCUUUCUAAGAUAGAGACUUAGUACAAUCCCUAUUCUGUGGACUGUGAUCCCAUAUAUUGAAAUGGCAUUUCCUUUUAAUCA